AGAGUUUGAUCAUGCCUCUAAUUGAACGCUGGCGGAAUGCUUUACACAUGCAAGUCGAACGGCAGCAUAGGUGCUUGCACCUGAUGGCGAGUGGCGAACGGGUGAGUAAUACAUCGGAACGUGCCCAGUCGUGGGGGAUAACGUAGCGAAAGUUACGCUAAUACCGCAUACGAUCUACGGAUGAAAGCGGGGGACCGUAAGGCCUCGCGCGAUUGGAGCGGCCGAUGUUAGAUUAGGUAGUUGGUGGGGUAAAGGCUCACCAAGCCGACGAUCUAUAGCUGGUCUGAGAGGAUGAUCAGCCACACUGGGACUGAGACACGGCCCAGACUCCUACGGGAGGCAGCAGUGGGGAAUUUUGGACAAUGGGCGCAAGCCUGAUCCAGCCAUUCCGCGUGCAGGACGAAGGCCUUCGGGUUGUAAACUGCUUUUGUACAGAACGAAAAGCCUUGGGUUAAUACCCUGGGGUCAUGACGGUACUGUAAGAAUAAGCACCGGCUAACUACGUGCCAGCAGCCGCGGUAAU
rnacentral:rRNA from 1 species